UAAUUUUGUGAGGCAUCUCCGGGUAGGGCGCCGGCCUAAGUUCCUUGGAACAGGACGUCAUAGAGGGUGAGAAUCCCGUGCUUGGCUGGCUGUCCCCGUCCAUGUGAGGUGUCUUCGACGAGUCGAGUUGUUUGGGAAUGCAGCUCAAAAUGGGUGGUAAAUUUCAUCUAAAGCUAAAUAUUGGUGGGAGACCGAUAGCGCACAAGUAGAGUGAUCGAAAGAUGAAAAGCACUUUGAAAAUAGAGUUAAAAAGUACGUGAAAUUGUUGAAAGGGAAGCGCUUGAGACCAGACUUCGGUGGGGAGUGAUCAGUCGUCCUUCUGGGCGGUGCACUUGCUCCCCUCCGGGCCAGCAUCGGUUGGGACGGCGGGAUAAAGGUCCCGGGAAUGUGGCUCCUUUCGGGGAGUGUUAUAGCCCGGGUGAAUGCCGCCAGCCCCGACCGAGGACCGCGCCUUCGGGCUAGGAUGCUUGGCAUAAUGGUCUUCAGCGACCCGUCUUGAAACACGGACCAAGGAGUCUAACAUCUAUGCGAGUGUUUGGGUGUCAAACCCUUACGCGAAAUGAAAGUGAACGGAGGUGGGAACCCGCAAGGGUGCACCAUCGACCGGUCCCGAAGUCUUCUGAAGGAUCUGAGUAGGAGCAUAGCUGUUGGGACCCGAAAGAUGGUGAACUAUGCCUGAAUAGGGUGAAGCCAGAGGAAACUCUGGUGGAGGCUCGCAGCGGUUCUGACGUGCAAAUCGAUCGUCAAAUUUGGGUAUAGGGGCGAAAGACUAAUCGAACCAUCUAGUA
rnacentral:rRNA from 1 species